GGAGGAACUCUUCCGCACGCGGCACGCGCGUACAAGUCACUGCCGCACUGUCGCGCGCAUGAACGAUCCAGAACGUGUUUUUUUUACUAAAACUAUGUAUUUUUGGUCCAUCCUACCGAUCGAUCCAAUAAUGCGAUAACAUUUUUGAAAACUAAUCUGAAUUCGUUAUAAUGUCUACUUGAGAUAGGUCAGUUCACAUUUUAAGAUUUCUGAUUUAUAUUCCAAAUAAUCAACGUUUGAAAAUGCCGAAAUUUCAAAAUAUUCAAACUAAAUUUUUAGAUGUUAGGGGGGUGAAAUUAGGGAAAUUGACUGACCGAUCUCUAGUAGACUUUAUAACGAAUUCAGAUUAGUUUUCAAAAAUGUUAUCGCAUUACUACAUCGAUCAGUAUGAUGGAAUAAAAAUUGGAUGUUUUG